rnacentral:rRNA from 1 species
GACGAACGCUGGCGGCGUGCCUAAUACAUGCAAGUCGAGCGCAGGAAGUCAUCCGAACCCUUCGGGGGGACGUUGACGGAAUGAGCGGCGGACGGGUGAGUAACACGUAAAGAACCUGCCCUCAGGUCUGGGAUAACCACGAGAAAUCGGGGCUAAUACCGGAUGGGUCAUCGGACCGCAUGGUCCGAGGAUGAAAGGCGCUCCGGCGUCGCCUGGGGAUGGCUUUGCGGUGCAUUAGCUAGUUGGUGGGGUAAUGGCCCACCAAGGCGAUGAUGCAUAGCCGACCUGAGAGGGUGAUCGGCCACACUGGGACUGAGACACGGCCCAGACUCCUACGGGAGGCAGCAGUAGGGAAUCUUCCACAAUGGACGAAAGUCUGAUGGAGCAACGCCGCGUGAACGAUGAAGGCCCUCGGGUCGUAAAGUUCUGUUGUAAGGGAAGAACAAGUGCCGCAGGCAAUGGCGGCACCUUGACGGUACCUUGCGAGAAAGCCACGGCUAACUACGUG